rnacentral:lncRNA from 1 species
CCUAUGCCGUCGCACACCUCGCACAUGCCUCCGAGCCGCCUCUGAUUUUUGGGUCUCAGACCGCAAGUCUUGCACCAUUCUUGCAGCCAUGGUCAAAAUUUCCUCCAGGCUCCAAGAUGGAACCUAAAAAGAACCCUAGUCCCAAAAUACUGGCUUCUAUGUUAUUAUCCUCCAUAGACUUCAAAGAAUUGUAAGAUUGCAAUAAAAAGAAGUGGAAAUUAAACUUGGGUUUUGGAGACAAGGAGAGGUUCUCUGUUAAUAUCCCAAAUGGUAGUGUGUUUAGAAUACGUGUGCAAAAUUUAAAUACAAAUAGCAACACAAUGCUAACAU